rnacentral:misc_RNA from 1 species
GCUCCGUUGGUGAACCAGCGGAGGGAUCAUUACCGAGUUAUCAACUCCCAAACCCCUGUGAACAUACCCAACGUUGCUUCGGCGGACCGCCCCGGCGCCCUCGGCGUCCCGGAACCAGGCGCCCGCCGGAGGACCCAAACUCUUGUUUAAACCAUAGUGGCAUAUUCUGAGUCUCACAAGAAAAAUAAAUCAAAACUUUCAACAACGGAUCUCUUGGCUCUG